GACGAACGCUGGCGGCGUGCCUAAUACAUGCAAGUAGAACGCUGAAGAGAGGAGCUUGCUCUUCUUGGAUGAGUUGCGAACGGGUGAGUAACGCGUAGGUAACCUGCCUUGUAGCGGGGGAUAACUAUUGGAAACGAUAGCUAAUACCGCAUAACAAUGGAUGACACAUGUCAUUUAUUUGAAAGGGGCAAUUGCUCCACUACAAGAUGGACCUGCGUUGUAUUAGCUAGUAGGUGAGGUAACGGCUCACCUAGGCGACGAUACAUAGCCGACCUGAGAGGGUGAUCGGCCACACUGGGACUGAGACACGGCUCAGACUCCUACGGGAGGCAGCAGUAGGGAAUCUUCGGCAAUGGGGGCAACCCUGACCGAGCAACGCCGCGUGAGUGAAGAAGGUUUUCGGAUCGUAAAGCUCUGUUGUAAGUCAAGAACGAGUGUGAGAGUGGAAAAUUCACACUGUGACGGUAGCUUACCAGAAAGGGACGGCUAACUACGUGCCAGCAGCCGCGGUAAUACGUAGGUCCCGAGCGUUGUCCGGAUUUAUUGGGCGUAAAGCGAGCGCAGGCGGUUUGAUAAGUCUGAAGUUAAAGGCUGUGGCUCAACCAUAGUUCGCUUUGGAAACUGUCAAACUUGAGUGCAGAAGGGGAGAGUGGAAUUCCAUGUGUAGCGGUGAAAUGCGUAGAUAUAUGGAGGAACACCGGUGGCGAAAGCGGCUCUCUGGUCUGUAACUGACGCUGAGGCUCGAAAGCGUGGGGAGCGAACAGGAUUAGAUACCCUGGUAGUCCACGCCGUAAACGAUGAGUGCUAGGUGUUGGAUCCUUUCCGGGAUUCAGUGCCGCAGCUAACGCAUUAAGCACUCCGCCUGGGGAGUACGACCGCAAGGUUAAAACUCAAAGGAAUUGACGGGGGCCCGCACAAGCGGUGGAGCAUGUGGUUUAAUUCGAAGCAACGCGAAGAACCUUACCAGGUCUUGACAUCCCGAUGCUAUUUCUAGAGAUAGAAAGUUACUUCGGUACAUCGGUGACAGGUGGUGCAUGGUUGUCGUCAGCUCGUGUCGUGAGAUGUUGGGUUAAGUCCCGCAACGUGCGCAACCCCUAUUGUUAGUUGCCAUCAUUCAGUUGGGCACUCUAGCGAGACUGCCGGUAAUAAACCGGAGGAAGGUGGGGAUGACGUCAAAUCAUCAUGCCCCUUAUGACCUGGGCUACACACGUGCUACAAUGGUUGGUACAACGAGUUGCGAGUCGGUGACGGCAAGCUAAUCUCUUAAAGCCAAUCUCAGUUCGGAUUGUAGGCUGCAACUCGCCUACAUGAAGUCGGAAUCGCUAGUAAUCGCGGAUCAGCACGCCGCGGUGAAUACGUUCCCGGGCCU
rnacentral:rRNA from 1 species